UCUGUCCUACGGGAGGCAGCAGUGGGGGAUAUUGCACAAUGGGGGGAACCCUGAUGCAGCGACGCCGCGUGGGUGAAGGAGCGUUUCGGCGCGUAAAGCCCUAUCGGCAGGGAAGAAGAUGACGGUACCUGACCAAGAAGCCCCGGCUAACUACGUGCCAGCAGCCGCGGUAAUACGUAGGGGGCAAGCGUUAUCCGGAUUUACUGGGUGUAAAGGGAGCGUAGACGGCUGUGCAAGUCUGAAGUGAAAUGCCGGGGCGCAACCCCGGAACUGCUUUUGUAA
rnacentral:rRNA from 1 species